CAGCCGCCACGGUAAUACGAAGGGUGCAAGCGUUAAUCGGAAUUACUGGGCGUAAAGCGUGCGUAGGCGGUGAGUUAAGUCUGCUGUGAAAUCCCCGGGCUCAACCCGGGAAUGGCAGUGGAUACUGGCUCGCUAGAGUGUGUCAGAGGAUGGUGGAAUUCCCGGUGUAGCGGUGAAAUGCGUAGAGAUCGGGAGGAACAUCAGUGGCGAAGGCGGCCAUCUGGGACAACACUGACGCUGAGGCACGAAAGCGUGGGGAGCAAACAGGAUUAGAUACCCCGGUAGUCCCUGUCUCUUAUAC
rnacentral:rRNA from 1 species